CCAAGUUGCAAGAUACCACUGCUUCUUUUAAGAGUGAUGGGUUUCCCAGGUGAUACUUGAAAGAAGAGAUAACGACCACCUAUCUCCUUCAUCCUGGUUACACAGGAAGGCUAUGGACUCCUUUUGGCAUUUCUGCCUCAGCAACAGAGGAUAAAAGUCAUGUUGUGAUGGAUAAGUCACAAAAGUAAAAAAUACAGACGUGGACUACAGGCCUCCAAAGAAGAAUUGAGCAUGCUGAGGAUCGAUGCCAGACAUUGGACAUUUUUG
rnacentral:lncRNA from 1 species